rnacentral:rRNA from 1 species
GACGGAGGGUGCUAGCGUUGUUCGGAAUCACUGGGCGUAAAGGGCGCGUAGGCGGCCUCAGGUGUCGGAUGUGAAAGCCCGGGGCUCAACCCCGGAGGUGCAUCCGAAACUCUGGGGCUGGAGGUCGGAAGAGGAGGGUGGAAUACCCAGUGUAGAGGUGAAAUUCGUAGAUAUUGGGUGGAACACCGGUGGCGAAAGCGGCUCUCUGGUCCGGACCUGACGCUGAGGCGCGAAAGCGUGGGGAACAAACAGG